UUUGGACAAUGGGCGCAAGCCUGAUCCAGCCAUUCCGCGUGAGUGAAGAAGGCCUUCGGGUUGUAAAGCUCUUUCGGCAGGAACGAAACGACGGGUUCUAAUACAGCCUGUUAAUGACGGUACCUGAAGAAGAAGCACCGGCUAACUACGUGCCAGCAGCCGCGGUAAUACGUAGGGUGCGAGCGUUAAUCGGAAUUACUGGGCGUAAAGCGUGCGCAGGCGGUGACUCAAGUCAGAUGUGAAAGCCCCGGGCUUAACCUGGGAACGGCAUUUGAAACUAGGUCGCUAGAGUGUAGCAGAGGGGGGUAGAAUUCCACGUGUAGCAGUGAAAUGCGUAGAGAUGUGGAGGAAUACCGAUGGCGAAGGCAGCCCCCUGGGUUAACACUGACGCUCAGGCACGAAAGCGUGGGGAGCAAACA
rnacentral:rRNA from 1 species